AUUGAACGCUGGCGGCAUGCCUUACACAUGCAAGUCGAACGGUAACGCGGGGCAACCUGGCGACGAGUGGCGAACGGGUGAGUAAUGCAUCGGAACGUGCCCGGUAGUGGGGGAUAACUGCUCGAAAGAGCAGCUAAUACCGCAUACGACCUGAGGGUGAAAGGGGGGGAUCGCAAGACCUCUCGCUAUCGGAGCGGCCGAUGUCGGAUUAGCUAGUUGGUGGGGUAAAGGCCCACCAAGGCAACGAUCCGUAGCUGGUCUGAGAGGACGACCAGACACACUGGGACUGAGACACGGCCCAGACUCCUACGGGAGGCAGCAGUGGGGAAUUUUGGACAAUGGACGCAAGUCUGAUCUAGCAAUGCCGCGUGCGGGAAGAAGGCCUUCGGGUUGUAAACCGCUUUUGUUAGGGAAGAAAUCCUCUGGGCUAAUACCCAGAAUGAGUGGACGUUACUCGCAGAAUAAGCACCGGCUAACUCUGUGCCAGCAGCCGCCGUAAAAC
rnacentral:rRNA from 1 species